rnacentral:tRNA from 1 species
UAGCUCAGUUGGUAGAGCAGUGGACUCUUAAUCCAUUGGUCGUAGGUUCGAAUCCCAC